GUAGACGUUAUGGUUAGGAGUAUUUUGGACGCGGGUUCGAUUCCCGCCAUCUCCACCA
rnacentral:tRNA from 1 species